GGGCUCUAUAACUUUCUCUCUCUUUCUCCCUCCCAGACUCCUAUUGUGGAUAUUUUAGUAUUAGUUAAAGACAUGGGGAAGGACUUUUGAACUGGAUCUGACAAAGGCAUUAAUUGCCUCUUUUCCUUCAUCCUAUUCCCCAUGAGCAGCAUAAUAAGAUAGAGAAAAAAAUGAGAAAAAGAAAAAAUCAAAGGUGGCAAGG
rnacentral:lncRNA from 1 species